CCUACGGGAGGCAGCAGUGGGGAAUAUUGCACAAUGGGGGAAACCCUGAUGCAGCGACGCCGCGUGAGUGAAGAAGUAUUUCGGUAUGUAAAGCUCUAUCAGCAGGGAAGAAAAUGACGGUACCUGACUAAGACGCCCCGGCUAACUACGUGCCAGCAGCCGCGGUAAUACGUAGGGGGCAAGCGUUAUCCGGAUUUACUGGGUGUAAAGGGAGCGUAGACGGCAGAGCAAGUCUGAAGUGAAAGCCCGAGGCCCAACUGCGGGACUGCUUUGGAAACUGCCCGGCUAGAGUGCUGGAGAGGUAAGCGGAAUGCAUAGUGUAGCGGUGAAAUGCGUAGAUAUAUGGAAGAACACCAGUGGCGAAAGCAGCUCUCUGGUCUGUAACUGACGCUGAGGUUCGAAAGCGUGGGUAGCAAACAGGAUUAGAUACCCCUGUAGUC
rnacentral:rRNA from 1 species